GCGGGUAUGUUUGAAGGGUAAAACUCAGAGACUCCUCUUUUCUUUGCCAAGGAAAAAGAUAAGGGUUCGAUUCCCCCUAUCCGCC
rnacentral:tRNA from 1 species